GGAAACAGAUGCUAAUACCGAAUAAAACUUAGUGUCGCAUGACACAAAGUUAAAAGGCGCUUCGGCGUCACCUAGAGAUGGAUCCGCGGUGCAUUAGUUAGUUGGUGGGGUAAAGGCCUACCAAGACAAUGAUGCAUAGCCGAGUUGAGAGACUGAUCGGCCACAUUGGGACUGAGACACGGCCCAAACUCCUACGGGAGGCUGCAGUAGGGAAUCUUCCACAAUGGGCGAAAGCCUGAUGGAGCAACGCCGCGUGUGUGAUGAAGGCUUUCGGGUCGUAAAGCACUGUUGUAUGGGAAGAACAGCUAGAAUAGGAAAUGAUUUUAGUUUGACGGUACCAUACCAGAAAGGGACGGCUAAAUACGUGCCAGCAGCCGCGGUAAUACGUAUGUCCCGAGCGUUAUCCGGAUUUAUUGGGCGUAAAGCGAGCGCAGACGGUUUAUUAAGUCUGAUGUGAAAGCCCGGAGCUCAACUCCGGAAUGGCAUUGGAAACUGGUUAACUUGAGUGCAGUAGAGGUAAGUGGAACUCCAUGUGUAGCGGUGGAAUGCGUAGAUAUAUGGAAGAACACCAGUGGCGAAGGCGGCUUACUGGACUGCAACUGACGUUGAGGCUCGAAAGUGUGGGUAGCAAACAGGAUUAGAUACCCUGGUAGUCCACACCGUAAACGAUGAACACUAGGUGUUAGGAGGUUUCCGCCUCUUAGUGCCGAAGCUAACGCAUUAAGUGUUCCGCCUGGGGAGUACGACCGCAAGGUUGAAACUCAAAGGAAUUGACGGGGACCCGCACAAGCGGUGGAGCAUGUGGUUUAAUUCGAAGCAACGCGAAGAACCUUACCAGGUCUUGACAUCCUUUGAAGCUUUUAGAGAUAGAAGUGUUCUCUUCGGAGACAAAGUGACAGGUGGUGCAUGGUCGUCGUCAGCUCGUGUCGUGAGAUGUUGGGUUAAGUCCCGCAACGAGCGCAACCCUUAUUGUUAGUUGCCAGCAUUCAGAUGGGCACUCUAGCGAGACUGCCGGUGACAAACCGGAGGAAGGCGGGGACGACGUCAGAUCAUCAUGCCCCUUAUGACCUGGGCUACACACGUGCUACAAUGGCGUAUACAACGAGUUGCCAACCCGCGAGGGUGAGCUAAUCUCUUAAAGUACGUCUCAGUUCGGAUUGUAGUCUGCAACUCGACUACAUGAAGUCGGAAUCGCUAGUAAUCGCGGAUCAGCACGCCGCGGUGAAUACGUUCCCGGGUCUUGUACACA
rnacentral:rRNA from 1 species